GAUGAACGCUAGCUACAGGCUUAACACAUGCAAGUCGAACGAGAACGGAAUAUAGCUUGCUAUAUUUGUCAGCUAAGUGGCGCACGGGUGAGUAAUGUAUAGAUAACCUGCCCUUAAGAAAGGAAUAACAGUUGGAAACGACUGCUAAUGCCCUAUAUGCCUUUAAUACAUAAGUAUGCGAGGGAAACGCUUUAGUGCUUAAGGAUGGGUCUGUAUGGUAUCAGCUUGUUGGUGAGGUAAUGGCUCACCAAGGCUAUGACGCCUAACUGGUUUGGAAGGGUAAGCAGUCACACUGGAAUUGAGACACGGUCAAGACUCCUACGGGAGGCAGCAGUGGGGAAUAGUGCACAAUGGACGAAAGUCUGAUGCAGCAACGCCGCGUGGAGGAUGACACAUUUCGGUGCGUAAACUCCUUUUAUAUAGGAAGAUAAUGACGGUACUAUAUGAAUAAGCACCGGCUAACUCCGUGCCAGCAGCCGCCGUAA
rnacentral:rRNA from 1 species